rnacentral:lncRNA from 1 species
GAAACUUAUAUAAAGAAGAAUACAAUUCGGGUUAUUACAUUUAAUAUCAGAUAAGCAAUUGGUCAUUUGAUUUUCCAGUUAUGUCUUGGUAAGUGGUGGGUACAAGCGUACAAUGCAGGAAGGUGGUGGAAGAUACAUAGAAUAUAUGUUGUCACUAUUCAAAAAAUAUACAAAUAAGAUUCUUAUUGUACAAAUAUAUACAAUAGACUGUCACUAUACAAAUUGACUGUCAGUAUGCAGAAAAUAUUCUAAAUAGUUUG